GCCCACGUAGCUCAGUAGGCAGAGCGUCGCCUUGGUAAGGCGGAGGUCACCGGUUCAAGCCCGGUCGUGGGCUCCA
rnacentral:tRNA from 1 species